ensembl:lncRNA
CGCAAAUAAAGUUCAGAUGCCCGAAAGCAUCCCGAUGUUGUAGCUGUUUCUCCUGAGCGGUUGGAGUCGUUUCUGAGCUCCGGUUUGCAUUGGUGGCCACUGAGCUUGGCGUGUUCCAAGGCAGACGACCCUGGUUUACAUUUGCUCGUGUCAAAGGCGCUGCAUGCUACAGACAGAGCAGACCGAGACCAACAGAGUGCUUCACAAAUACUGAUGGAGAGUGAAAAUGCAAAAGGAUAACUGCAGCGUCUAAAGGGAAAUUGUCCAAGCACAGGAGAAGAGGCAUACUGGAAAGAGAAGAGCCUUCGCUCCUAGCUGGGCGGCUCCAGAUUAUUCACUGGAUAAUCUUCCUCCAGUAAGAAGUGUCUUGAACUGAAAGGCAUCUUUGAUCGACCACUCCUUACCGAAGUGAUCAAAACUUUGUGCGUAGAAACUGUUUUGUUCCUCAUUGCUAUUGCUUAACCUCGGUCAUUUGCAUGCUCUGUAUGGCAAAUGUCAGCAAGAGGUCUAUGGACUUGCCAGACUGAAGUAUCCACUCAGACAGCAUUACAGUGUCACUUCAGACCUUCUUCGAAGGCAUCACACCGCGGCUAAUUAAUUUGAGGGCUUUGUUACAGGAGGGAAGGCAUUUCCUUAUGGAGAGAGGCUUCCUUUACCAGUGGUGUUUGCUGGAAGGAGCAGGGCAGGAUGGGCCCAGCAGCAAAGGAGGAGAUAAGGGGCUGUUCCUGAGGGCGGAAGUUAGCACUGCCACCGUGCAUCCAUGCGGGUAUCUGGUCUGAGAGGUCUAACCCUGAUCCCAUGCCCAUGGAAAUCAAUGACAGGAUUUCUGCAGACUGUUGAAGGGGCCAUCGAGAGGCUGAGGAGCAGCUAACAGCCCAGCCUGGCACAAACAGUUUGUACUGCAGUACCCACAUGUGCCACACACUGGGCUGGACAGAUCCUGAGCUCUGUGUGGGUGAGGGAAAUGGGCCUCAGACAAUCAGGGCCUGGGGGUCGAGAGCCUGGUGGUCAAUCUAUUUUUCUUAGAUGACAAAGAUGUAGUUACCAAACUGAGACUGCCCGGAGGUGCUCAGGCUUGGUGGGUUUUAUUGCUGGAGCCUCAAGGAAGCAGCCCAGUGAUGAGGGGUCUCCCUGCUUUGUCCCCCAUUUUGUGCAUCUUCUCCCUUUGCUUGCUGAGGUUUCACCUCAGGCCUGCCUCCACUUUGAGAACACUGAAUAGCUCUUAAUGACAGCAGCACAAACAAAACCAUAUAAAGACAGGAUUUGUGAUUUACGUGGGGUUAAUUACCACAACAAGUAUGUUUAUUCACUUCUCUAAUAAAUCCUGAAGACAGGAACAAGUACUAGCUUGACCAGAUUCAUCCUGUGCAUACGUUUUUACAAAUCUAUAUGUGCAGGAUAGAUAAAAAAGAGACGAAGUAUCUCCCAUCAUGUAGGCACUAACCCAUAGCCCAUGUGUGCUCUUCAGCCUGCCGAUGGCGUCAUCAUUUACUUCAGAUCUUCUUGAGGAAAAUAGGCUCUUUUGUGACUUUUGCAAGUCCUUUUUUUUUUUCUUUUUCUUUUUUUAAGGAAAUAAAUGGAUCGUAAAUGAGCAUUAACUACAUCAGUGUGAUCUAUUGCUCUGACACCUAUUUGCCACAGGAGGAAGGUGAGGUCUCCAUUUGUCUCUGCUAAAGGAAUGAGGUAUUUCUAACACGAGGUUAGAAGGCUGCAGUGACAGGAGCUGGGCAUGCCCAGGCCCUGCGGUGUGAAGCUGUGCUUCAGUGAGGGCACUCCAUAGCCCAUCACUCGCUCACUAACAGAAUGACUUGGUUCCAUCAGUCUGAUUUACAGGAGAGGGAACUGAUGUAGAGAAGUGAGCAGUGCCAUUGGGAGCGUGUGUUUUUAAGUGACAGAUCUCCGAGUGACUUCAUGUAGACCAGUGUUACUCAACAACGUCCUGUUUGACUGUGUUCUGAUAUAUGUCGGUUGCAAGAAGGUUUUCUUGACCUGCUGAUUCUGCUUCAGCCAUCUUCCAUGUUUCCAGUGUCCGUGUCCGUGUCUGGCUGACUGCAGUCCCUGAUUUGCUAGAGAAGUCGUUGCCAUGGCUCAGCACCGUGCCAGACGGGGCCCCCGCCGCCCUGAGGAAUUUGUGUCAGAUAGAACAUUUCGUACGAUGCAGAAGGUUCUGUCACCUUGAUUCGAAGGAAGUUGUUUGUGUUAAUGCUUAAAGGUAACGUGAGACGAGGCGAGCUCUUUACUUUGGAACACGCGCUGUGCCAUUGAUGUGCGCAGUACAGUAAAUAUAACAAAGAGCGCACUGUGGUAUUUACACCCACCGCAAACACAUUUGCAAAAUAGGAUUAUUUGCAAUCCAAUAAAAUGGUACUGCUUUUAAGGCAGAAACCCUGUGUGUUCAGUGAAGUGUGCUCCUCAGCUUUUCUUACCGUUUAUCGACCCAACACAUUCCUCCCCAUUUUUUUAAUGCCUUCCAUUAAUAGUUAAGAAAAACCUAGGGAAAACAAACACUCUUUUCCUGAUUGUUUAUUCACCAGUCUCUUAGGAACCAUAAUUACGUCUCCCAGGAAUUGUGUGUUUUAUCAUACUGUAUAUCUUAAAGAGCCACUUUAGGUAAAAUAACAAGGAGUGCCUUAUGAAGGAAAAUUGGAUUCAUUUUAAGACUUUUUUAACCCUCCAAAGAAUGGCUCUUUGUUUACUUCUUUAGUGCAUGUGGCAACUUGCCCAAGUAAAUACUAUGCUGCAUAAAUACCAGAGAUUGGUAUUUAUGAUAUUACAUAAACAUACUCUGAAUAAUGACUCAUUGUUGCGAUGAAGACGAAUGCAAGCAAUAUACAUCGCAGUCAGUGCGUUAUUUCUUGUCACUUUAUUAAGUGGCAUUGAGCGUUGCAGGACAAAAUGACAGCAACUGGAGAGGAGAAGUCUGAUUGCGUUAUUUAGCAGAUCUGAGUUUACAAAACAGAAGAGAAAACAGCCAAAACAGGAAGGUUAUGAGGAUAACAUAGCAGAUUAAUUAUCAAUAUGCAGGGUAAGUAGUUAGGUGUAUGGUGGGGCUGACUGGAAAAGGGUUUAUUGCUCUUUGAAUUGAAAACUCAUGCAGUGCAUUUAUUCCACUGUCCCAGCAGGGAGCUGAGCCUUCGGGUUCAUCAUCCUACCUGUGGUGAUGCUCACGUCCACUUGCAGCAACAGUAUUUCCCUCACAGAGCUGCACUUUUGGUGGCUUUGUUUCUCAGGGCCUCAGUCUGUCCAGAUGGAGUUUUGUUACACCUUUACCUGCACUCUGAAAAAAUUGUGUGAGGGUUUGUGUGAAGGGAAAAUGUGGCACACUUUGCAGUGCUGCCAAAUGAUGGAGCUCAGAUCUGAGAAAUCAAAAUCCCAAAGGGAAGGUGCCUAUGCCAAAACCUCUAUUUAAAGCCAGCAGGGUAUGACCAAGUUAGUUAUCUGUAAAGCCCAUGCUUAUAGCCUGUCUUGUCCUAACAGCAAAAACAACGGACACUCAAAUUCUCAAAGGGCCACUGAACCAUCCCUUUAAAAAUGACGAUGAAAAUUAUCACCCAUAAUAAUGGACUAGCCUGAAAAAAUGUGAUUUUUUUGGAAAUUCUACUCUUCCCCUGAAGCAGCUCCUCAGGAACAGCAGAGAAAGCCUGCAGAGUGGGAGGGUGACCCUCAUAAUACGUGGAGGAGUGGGAUGCUCAGCUGUGGGAGGACUCUGCUCCAGGACUGCAGGCCUGCACGCUGUGAUUGAGGUUAGAAGGGAACACAGGGGACAGGAGAACAGAAGGCUGUUCGUCUGCAAAGACCAAUGAUGUCUCCUGGUCCAGGACACAGAUGCAUGGCAUUAGUUUGGUGAGGCUCUACUAGCAAGCUCAGGAAUGACAGUGAUGCUCUCUGUGCCAUCCUGGAUGACACAAAAUUUGUGCCUAAAUCCCUGGAUGGAUGCAGACUUAAUUUCACUGGCAAACGCUUUGAAAAGUGCAGCCCUCUGUAACACCUCCCGAAGAAGAAAAGACAGAGACAGACUGCAUGUCAUUCCUUCACUCCUGUAUGCCCAUAUCAGCACUCACUGCGCCUACAGAGAAGCACAAGAAUCACACGGUUCCAGGCAAAAUGCAUGUCAGUGACCCAGCAGCGAUGCACACUGCGCCGGCACCAGAGAAUCACCAGAGGAGCUGUGAACUAACCCAGACAGAAAGCAGUGGUGCAAAGGUACUGUUGGACGUGUUUGCGUAGCCAGAAGAUAAAGCUUCGUGGCAUGACGUGAUGUCCUCCAGAUGUACUGGGAAGCCCUGCACACACCUCCAGAGAGCAGCUGAAGAGCAGCAGCAGAUGGCCACGGCAGCAUGCAACGCACCAGCCCCGCUGCCCUAUGUAUCAUGGGGGCUCAGUGUUCAAGGGAUGCACAGUGCAGCUCAGAAGCCUGGGCUGAUGGGGCUGGAUGCUGCAGCGCAGACAUGGCACCGUGAAACCUCUGUGCCCCAGGGCCUGCAGUUUGCUGCCGGUGUUAGGGCCGUGGUGAGGAUGGCAGCUCACCCAGCCUCUGGAGCCAGGCUGGCUGCCUGACAGCCCGGCCACAAGUGCUGUGCCAUAUUGGAGCUCAGCAGCUGCCCCAAGCUGGCGGGCUGUGCGCCAGCCAGACGAGCUGCCCAGAGGUAGCGGUGAGUAAGGCAUCACUUCUGAACGUGACUUGGCAGUGUCAGGAUUAAAACCAAAGAGCCAACAAAAGCAAAAAUAAAAAUAAUUUAAAAAAAUAAAAACAAAACCUAACAAUGAUAACAGUGAUUUCUCCAGAAAAGAAUCAGGUUGAGAAAUGGUCUUACCUUAAGAAAAGGCUCACUGUGGCCUUCCAGAAGGGAGCUCACAAGCAGGAGGGGCACAGGGCAAAGGGGAAUGGUUUAUACUAAAAGAGAGGAGAUUUAGGUUAGGUGUUAGGAAGAAAAUCUUUACUCAGAUGGUGGUGAGGCACUGGCACAGACUGCCUGGAGAAGCUGUGUAUAUCCCAUCACUGGAAGCAUUCAGUGCCAGGUUGGAUGGGGCCCUGGGCAGCCAAAUCUGGUGGGUGGCAGCUUUACCCAUGCCCAGUGGGUUGGAACUAGAUGAUCUUUAAGGUCUCCCCCAACCUAAGCCAUCCUAUGAUUCUAUGACUGUUCAGCUACAAUGAAAGGCUAUAGUCUUCAGCUGGUGGCUGGACACUGGAUUGCACUCAUAAAAUAGAACUGCCUGCAAGGGCUGAAUGCCAUAAUUAACAGGCAUUUUUUAGAAAUUAUUGGUUAAUGUAAUAGAAAUACUGCCAACUGUUGUUGUUAAAACCUAAGUUUGUUCCUUUGGUGGUAAUGCAUAAUGACUCAACACUGCUUCAAUGGGAAGAUACCUUUGUCUGUUACAUAUUGCUACCUUCAUUUGUACAAUGGUUUAUAUGGCAAAUAAUACAAAUUCUGAAACUUAAAGACAGCUUCAGGAAGUAAUCAGAGUGCCACCCGUGUCCUGGGCGAUCACAGUACUGGCAGUACAACAAGGCCUUUUUAUCAUAUCAUGGCAUUAAUGAUCCAAUCCCACUCCCACGGCAGGCAAUGUGGCCUUUAUCACCAAUGCUGUUUAAGCAGGACUAAGCUUAAAGGGUUCUAGAACAGGGAAAGAUGCUAAUCUAAGUUUCACAUCCAUCUGGUACAUUUCUCAUGCAGGUUAUACAUGACCACCUAGAGAACUACUGCACAUUUUUAGUAACAAACUCUAUGAGCCCUACCAGGGAAUACAGGUUGUCCUCAGAUAAUGGGAUCUACUCAUAUGAUGCAGAUGUCUUAUCACCUAAGAACAUUUUCACAAUAUUACAAUAGCGACCGAAAGGUUAUUUCUCAAACCCUGUCUGUCACCCAGUAGGUACCAGCUGAAAAGUUUCUGUUUGAUUGCUAAAGAGUAGAAAGCAAUGAACACACAUUGGCAAAUCUUAGAUCAGGCAUGAUGUGGAUGUUGCACACCUCAGACUAACGCCCACCUUCACUUCAGGGAAAGGAGAAACCAGACCUGCAGACACACUAAUCGCUCCUGCUCUCAGAGUUCCCACUCACCUGGUUGGAAAUGAACUGCAGAACCUUGCUGCUUUCUAUUUACUGCACUGAGAGCCAGUGAUUUCUGAGUACUUCCAGUCAUCAACUGCAUGGCUAUUGCAGCAUUUUAUGAUGUAAAAUCCUCCUAAUGUACGAAUUAAAAAAAUAUAUAUGCAGUCUGUGCUGAGAUUGACAAUUCUGAUACAAGAGGGGGAGGUGAAGUCCAAUCUCUGCUCAGCUGGGAGGAACGCAAAGGUGAUGACACACCACUUAGUUUUGGGACAGCUUGGAGGUGUGGGUGUACGACCCACCAAAGCGGGGUCACUUCACCCAAAGGAGGGCAAGCAGCAGAACUGGGCUGUCAUGCACAAGACUCAAACCAUCAGACUGUGCCAGAGUCAAAAUGAGAGCUCCCAGAGCCUGGUUUCCAGCUGCACCCACUGCUGAGCAGAGACUGUGCAUCCCCAUCAAGUGCAGGAGGUCAUGUCCUUCAGCUGCUUCUAAGGGAAGGCGCUUCAGAGCACACAGGCACACUCAGCAACGCUGGUGGUGGACACAUGCAGACGUGGCCGAGGAAAGCUAAACAGGAUGCAUCAGCACCAAAGGGAUCUGGGCAGCCCAUCCCACUGGCUUUCAGUAGCACUGAAUAUGACGGGCUCUUGGACAAACCUGUGGAUCCCAGCCUGCCAUGUGACACUGCUAAGUGACUCUUGUCAGUAGAGCGUAGCAACUUGACUUAUUCCCUUCUGCAGAGCACACACUGGCCUGUGUACUGUCCAGGGGAGAAGCAGAGCCUCGCAAUUGGAAGGCGGGCACCAAAAGACACACGUGGGGCUGGAAGCUGGACAGUCCCAGCACCCAGGUCAGAAAUAAAACUGCUUUUACAGCAAGGAUUUCAGUAUAUGGUCUGGCUGUUGCUGACCUUGUCUGAGAACCUCUGUCAGCAGUGUGCCCAAUAGCUGACACGCUGCAGGCCUCUAUCAGAUGACAUUGCUAUUACAGUGCCUGCAGAGGUGGGGAAGUUCAUAUGUUAACAAACAAUACUGAGUGAAUUGAUUCCUCCUGCCUGCAUUGCCGUUGCUGUUCCACUCCCUCCACAAAACUAGGCUUUAGGAUACAGUUUAUUCCCUUUUCCAUGUAUCACUGUAACUGCAGUACUGUUGUAGACCAGCUAGAAGAAGUGGAGUUGUGAAUUCACCUUCUCUUUGGAAAUGUUACUCCAUCCACCCACACCUCUUUCUUCUUUGCUAACUCCAGUCAUCCAUCCCCAGGACCUACACCCACACUGAUCCCAACUCACUGAUGAACAUACAUGGAAAAAGGCCUUGCUAAAUAGAUUGCAGCUCCUGUCCCAUAGCUGUGUUUAUAGGAUCAUUGGAUACUAAAUCUAAUACAUAAAUGAGAACCCACUGGUUGAGUAAGGUCUCUGGAUUUAGUGCUCGCUCCAUGAAACAGGUUACUCAGCACAGCAGCUCCGGGUGCCCCAGGACACAGGGCUCAGCCAAGUGGAGGCCUGACCCCAAAGAGACUAACUCUGAUGCUGUUUGGGAACUUCUCCCCAUAGUGACAGGACACUCAGAACCUGAGUGAGGAGACACCUGAACCAUUCAGGAGGACUCCAGCUUCCACCCAACAGAGGUCCCAUCAGCCAAGCUGCCAAAGGUGCCCUGGAGUCCCAUCCCUCUCUCCCAGGGAAAGCCCUGCAACGCUGGGGCCCUAUGAGCUUGGGCUCAUUUCAUUUAAGUCUUCCCACUUUAUAGCAACAAUGUCCUGAAAAGAUUGGAGGAUGCAGAACAAACAGAAACUCAGCAUGGCACAGCGAUGCAAAAAAAGGUUCCAAAAGGUCAAGACAGGGAGAAGUGGAUGAACUCUGGUAUUUUAACAGCUCGGCAUUGAUGCCAUAAAUUAAAAGGAAGUGUGCUGGAUGUUUUAUUUUCUGUGUGUGGUAAACUGUACAGUUAGAGUCUGAAUAAACCUCUUUUGUCAAUUUUACUACCUUUCUGAUAUAAAAAUAAAUAAACUUAAACAAAGAAGAAGUGGAGACCUGCCAAGCCAGCCUACUUUGGUAAGAACUGCACUGACAAGGGAGCAAUUGUGUCUUAAAGCUGAGGGGCUGAAACGAUCAGCUUUUGGGGGCUGGCAAAGCCCUUCUGGAAGGGAGCUGCUCUGUAUGCAGGAGGAGCUACAGGAGAAGGAAAAAAAAAAAGGACACUCAUCUAAAAGGCAACAAAAGAACAUCAUUAAAAUUUCUGCUACCAGAACUGCUUCCCUGUUUGAUGGGAAGGCUGCAGGUAAAUAGCUGCUGCAAAAUAUACCAGGGUAACAGCACCUAGGAGCAUUUUAAUGGUGAUAUAAAAUUCACAAGUAAAUGAUAUAAUGUACUAAGUAACUUAUUAGGCUGAAUAUAAAACAAAGGUAUCAAGAAUGAUGGUUUUACUCUGCAGUGAAUCUCAGCAAUGAGUUCUAGGCUUACCAGUCCAAUGCCAAGCAUGAGAACUUCCAGUAGGCAGCAACACGUAAUUACCGCUGGGUGGAGGUGAAUCAACCACUUUCCGUCAUGAAGCCAAUGAGGGACCCUCAGACAAUCUGCCAAAGGUGGGUGGGUGAAUGAGUGUUACUUUCCUGCUAGGCUCCCAUCAGGGCACCACACCUUGUGAUAUUAUCUCUGUAAUAACCAAACAACUUUAAAUGAUAUUGUGUCACUGCAAAUGAAGCAGGAGGGUGACCCAGCAAGUCAGAUUUCAUUAGUGCAUGAGGGACUGCACUCCAGCAUGCAGCUACACACACACACACACACCUUCAGACCCUGGAAACCUCAGCCUGCAAUGCAGAGCAAUCUAAACUUUAGCCAUACAUGCCUGAGAUUGUGUCUCCUCCAUGAGAGAUGCACAUGGACUUGCACAUGCAUAGCAGGCUUAUCACUACACCCAUGUCCUAUUUGCUUUUCUGUGUGUCACUGUUGAAAGUUUUCUAAUGCGCUAGGUAAGAAGAUUGCAAAUGAAGCAGAACUUCAACUGCUCAAUCGCAUUAAUACGGGUACAGUAAAAGAUGACAGGAUUACAUACAGUUCGUCUAAUUAGCAAGCCAUGUGCAGCAUUGCCUGCCCAAGUGUUCAUGCACUCAGGCUCGUUGCCUCCCACCACUGCACCUUUCCUGCCGCUUUCCUCAACUGCAAUUGCCUGCUCUAGUUCCAGUCACAGGGGACGUAUCUGGUCUGCCAUAACUUUCCAGCUGUGAACACACCAGUGACUCCUGCCAGCCCUCCACUGUUCUGACUAGCAUCUCCAAGAGCUUUCCAGGCAGAAGGAGUGAUUCAGAAGACUUUGGAGAUGUCGCACUGGCUGGGAGCAAGUGCUGUUGUCUGCCACAAGGAGAGAGCUUCAAGCCAUCCAAGGGCAUGCCAUAUUGGUUCACAAGGGCCUGAACUACAAUAGUUAGAUAAGUUUGAUGACAGAAAGUAAGAAAGAAAACGACUGGAAAGUCACCAGGUCAGACUGUGGGGCCAGAGCAGGAAAAAGGCUUUGCCAAAGUCAUACCUAGUGAAACUCAACCGUCUUCUGUGAAUUCAACCUCCUAUAGGCCAUUGUGCUAAUGUGUAUUUUGGCAAGUGCCUGACCCUUCCUGUUGACUGAAAUACUCAUGCUCUCUAGAAAUGACUAGGCCUGCACUCAACUCUCCAAGCAGCUAACCUUACCCCUUCUUCUUUCUUAUUUCUUCCUCUUGCAAAACCAGUCAAAUCCCUGCUGGGUGCCAGGAUCAGACAAUACCAUACUUCUGCCAUCUGUUGGUCUGGUUCCUCCUCGUUUCCUGUUUCUUCCCUCUAAGACUGCCUUAUGGUAACACAAAAGCCAUGGCAACAACAGUAGGAAGGUCACUCUUGGUGGCCAGGCUGGGAAGAAAGGGACUCCCAGCAGAGGAGAAGUAGGUGUGCCCUGGUUAGGUUGCUUCUGAAUUUGACCUGCUUAGCCACUCCCUACCAAAAAUCUCCUCAACCAGCACAUCAGGCUCAUGCUGUAGGUGUCACAAACUCCACACGUGUAAUCAACUGGCUUCUUCUGAAAGGGAUUAGCCUAAGCAUUAGGAAAGAACUAGGUGUCAUUUUUAAGGUAUCAGUACAUUUUUUGGGGGUAAUAUUCCCAAGCAAGUCCAUUUGGAAGCCAUUUCCAAACACAUGGACAAGAAUGCAACUGAGAACAGGCAGUGUGGAUUUACUAAGGUCAAAGUGUACCUGGCCAACAUGGUUGUCUUCUGUGCUGGAAUGACGUACUGGAUGAACAAGGUUAGGGAUGCUGUGGAUGUCACUUACCUCGGUUUUAGCACAGCCUGUAACACUGUCUCCUGUUCAAAGCAAACUGGGGUGGUACAGACUUGAUGGAUGGCCCACAGCAUACCUGGAAAAAGUACGUGAAGCUCAAAAGGCAGUAAUGGUCAACAGCUAGACUUUUAAUUAAUUGGCAUUAAGAAAUGGCAUUCUUCAAGGGACAACACUAGGGCCUGUCUUCACCAGCAUCCUGGAUGAAAGGCUGCAACGCACGUUCUGCAUGUUUGCGCAUGACGCUGUGUUCAGGGUGUAGAUCAUUAUGCUGGAGGACAGGACAGCCAUUCACAUAUUCUUCAGCAGCCUCAAAGACCAAUCUUACAGAAAUCUCCUCAAAUAUACCAAAGAGACAGACAAAAUCUGCACGCGAUACAGAAUUAAUCUGAGCAACAGCAGAGGAUGGGAGCUGAGUGGCUAGCAAGGAGCUUCACUGAAAAAAGCACCUGGGGUCCCAGUGGACAAAAUGCUCAUCAUGAGUCAGCUGUGAGGCUGUGCAGUGGUGACAGCCAAUUGCACCCUCACUGCACAGGAGGUAACGGAACCAGAUGCUCAUCAGCAGUGCACAGUGCAAGGGCAAUGACCGCAAGCUGUAGUAGGAGAAAUUCCACUGAAUGUAACUGGAGAAACGCUUCAAAAUGAAAGCUGACAUGCAUUGAAACGGGUGCCCAAAGAGGUUUGUGAAAUCUCCACCUUCCAACAUUGAACAGCAAAGCCCUAAGUAGCCUAAGCUCAUGCUGAAGUCAGCCCCCUUUGAGGAGGUUGGCUGCAGCCCUCUAGAUGCUCUUUCCAACCACAAUUAUUUGAUGAUUUUUAAUUUUUUUUAAACAGCUGUUCGUCUGGGAGACCUGGCUGGAGUUGGUUACAGAUUCCUCGAAAAGAACGAAGCUGUUAUCUCCACAGCAUCACCUGCCAGUUAUUGCUUAUUUGUAAUAUGAAUGAAUUCAGUGCAUACAUCACAAGUCCAGACAGUCAAGAGACUUCAGUUCUGAGAUUUUAUCUUCGAGGAUCAAAGAACUGAACUUUCUCUCUCUGAUCUUCAACCUGAGCAAAAAAAAAGAGGUCUGUCUUUAAUGCACUGUCAAAACCUCCCCACUUCAGAGGCAGCAUGAGAAAGACUGUUUCUGGGCUUUAUUUUGGAUUUAUGCAGCUCUCACGCGUUCUUGUGGUGACAACUGGACAUGUUGUGAGACUUCCUAAUAAAACAAUUGUUUCGGCCUGAAAUGUUGUAGAAGCAGUGUAUAACAUAUGGCCUCCAAAUGCAACACCUACUUCAGCAUCUGCACCCUACCAUAUAUACACGUACAUUUAUAUACAGCAGUCCAGGCUGCCAAAGGCUCAGAAGAUCUGCUAGCUACCAUGAAAAAUGGCUGCUGGCUCUUAGCAGAACCACACUGCAAAUGUGGGGUGUGGAUCCACAAGGCUGUGCCUUCCAGCAGCAAGGGCUGCAGUGCCAGGUGUGCCGGCACACCAGGAGAAGCUAAGGACAGAGGACUCCCCAAAAGGCACUGGUGUGCAAGGGCAUUUUUACCUCCCAGGCUGAGCAGAGACACAGGUCCCCAGCGAGUCGCAGCCCCAGAUGCCCCCUGAAAAACCGCAGCUGACCCAGGCACUCUGCAAGCCUGCGGUCAGAACCACAGUGGACACCCAGAGAAAGUAACAGACUUAGCU